AUUGAACGCUGGCGGCAUGCCUUACACAUGCAAGUCGAACGGCAGCACGGGAGCAAUCCUGGUGGCGAGUGGCGAACGGGUGAGUAAUAUAUCGGAACGUGCCCAGUCGUGGGGGAUAACGCAGCGAAAGCUGUGCUAAUAUCGCAUACGAUCCAUGGAUGAAAGCGGGGGAUCGCAAGACCUCGCGCGAUUGGAGCGGCCGAUAUCAGAUUAGCUAGUUGGUGAGGUAAAGGCUAACCAAGGCGACGAUCUGUAGCUGGUCUGAAAGGACGACCAGCCACACUGGAACUGAGACACGGUCCAGACUCCUACGGGAGGCAGCAGUGGGGAAUUUUGGACAAUGGGCGCAAGCCUGAUCCAGCAAUGCCGCGUGCAGGAUGAAGGCCUUCGGGUUGUAAACUGCUUUUGUACGGAGCGAAAAGGUCUUUCCUAAUACGAGAGGCUCAUGACGGUACCGUAAGAAUAAGCACCGGCUAACUACGUGCCAGCCGCCGCGGUAAAAC
rnacentral:rRNA from 1 species